rnacentral:rRNA from 1 species
ACACGACUACAUUAGAUACCCCGGUAGUCCUAGCCGUAAACGAUACUCGCUAGGUGUCGGCCACGGUGCGACCGUUGUCGGUGCCGUAGGGAAGCCGUGAAGCGAGCCACCUGGGAAGUACGGCCGCAAGGCUGAAACUUAAAGGAAUUGGCGGGGAGCACAACAACGGGUGGAGCUUGCGGUUUAAUUGGAUUCAACGCCGGAAAUCUUACCGGGACCGACAGCAACAUGAAGGCCAAGCUGAAGACUUUGCCGGAUUAGCUG